rnacentral:rRNA from 1 species
CACGUAGGGCGCAAGCGUUGUCCGGAAUUAUUGGGCGUAAAGAGCUCGUAGGCGGUCUGUUGCGUCUGCUGUGAAAACUCGAGGCUCAACCUCGAGACGUCGGUUGAAACCGUACGGCUAGAGUCCGGAAGAGGAGAGUGGAAUUCCCGGUGUAGCGGUGAAAUGCGCAGAUAUCGGGAAGAACACCCGUGGCGAAGGCGGCUCUCUGGGACGGUACUGACGCUGAGACGCGAAAGCGUGGGGAGCGAACAGG